AAAUGGCUUGUCCUGAGAAAUGAGUGCUAUGGCUGCCUGGACUAUAAGCCCUAGAAGUAAAAACCUAUGGAAAGCUAAACCGCUACACCGAGCGGCAACAAGAGCAAGCAAAAUCCACUUAAGGUUUUAGUAUCUGUGAUUACUUUGUGUGUUCUCUUACUCCAGCACUCUGCAGCCUCGUUCUCCUCUCCCAGCCAAGCUUUUAGGAAGGGAAGGAUCCAGGAGGGCCAUCUAGUGAGAAGAGCAUUACCACUAAAACUGUAGUGCGUUGGAGCGUCAGAGAAAGAUCUUAAGGACUGUGUCCAGGCCAGUUUACUCUCUUUGUCCUCUGGGAAAAUUGCUCCAGCAGAGGACCUGACAGGAGAAUGCGGAGACCGUUGUUUGCACCACUUUACAGAUUUGUGUAAGACUAUUUGGGGACUUUAAGGACUCCAGCGGGAGGAGAAGAGGCCAAGAACCUCCAGCAGUGGAUGCAGGUGCGAUUCUGGGAAGGCAGCUGCAACUUUUCUCUUUUUAUUUCUUACAGAUUUGUGUGACCAAAGGGGCAUCACCGGCCUCCUGGUUUCUGGGCAGAUAAAAAGUGGAAAACCCGGAAGGUUUUCACACUUCUGGCUUCCCGGAAACACGGGAGGAAAUCAAGGGCAGCAUUCGCCCGAGCGUGGCUCUGCAUUAGACUGACUACCUUGGACUGAAACUGCCCUGUGUCCAAACAAGGGCGAAGACAUGAUCAGCCCUCUGGUUAUUUUCACCCAUGUGAAGAGGCACUUGGCAUCUUGGAUUCACACCAGCCCUGGCCAUGGGGAAGAAGCCAUGUGUUGAUUGAAGCAGUCUGAGACCGGUGAUUUGGAGAAGUAGAAAAACAAACUAGGUGCCCUGACCAGACCCACCCGUAGUUCCAUAUGCUGUUUUCCUGCCACUCAGCGUCUGAUGGAUGAGAGAAGGUGGCUCCUGAGGAGAGGAGGGGGGGGGGGGGGGGGGGACUGCAGGUGCUCCAAAUUAGGAAUAAUUCUGCAGAUUAGCCUAAUGAAGUCAAAAAGUUAAUUUGUAGCUGCCAGCUGUUGAGCAGUAAGUUAUAAAGUGCCGCAGCCCCUCUACAGCUCAGCGCAGGGAAUGCAAAAAGGCAAAGGGAGUAACUGAGAGGACUUGGAAGAAACACCUGCUAAGGCGUCAUCUGGGAGGAGCUCCGCAGUCGCCAGGUGGCCUCAUGGACAAAGAGAUCAUAGAAAUAAUGACUGUUGGUGACCUGGGCUUGUGUAGGGGUGGGGAUGCGGGGCACUGCGGUCCUUGCUUAGAGCACCGGAACUGAUUCCUAGCUUAGAAAACAGUUGUCAAUUGGUGUGAAGCUUGUAGAUUCCUUUAGCACAGGGAUAACAGGGUUCAGAAUAAUAGUUCUUCCCUCUCCCCUGACAAUUUACAUUUGGUACACUCACUCUCCGUCAUCCCUGUUCCUCCUCCCAAUCUGUAAAUUUAACUAGCUCAUCUGGGAAGAGAUAAAAGCAAAUUGUGGUUUGCCACACUGGAAGGAGAUUACCUUCCUCCCCAGCACAGUGGUGGGUCCUGGGUACUGUGAGCUCUUAGGGGCAGCGUGGUCGCUCAUCUCUGUGUAACUCUUACUGAAGGCCAUUCUGCACGCGGCUGUUAUGUAUCUAGCUUUUUACUCUUAAAAAAAAAAAAGGCUGGAAGAAUGAGAAGACAGCAAGCUGCACUGUGCUUCAGGAAGCGCACAGGAGAAACUACAGGAUGUAACGGCUCUUUCCUUGGGAAGGGUCGCUAUAAACCCACAGAUAAUGCGGACACUGCGUUCAAUAGACCUCGACGAUGCAGCUUGCGUUCAUGGGGCCUGCUCGUGUCUGUCCUUCCAAACAUUCAGACAGUUUCAAGUGCGGGGAAAUAAAACCAAAACCCAUAGAUCUAAAUAAAUAUCUACUG
ensembl:lincRNA